CCAAAAUGGGGAUGAACCUGACGAGUUAGAAGUCGGCAACUCAAUUAUUACAACUAGAGAGUCCGAACAGCUUCACCAAGUUUCAGAUCUCGGCGAGCUCGCAAGUCAAAUCAAACCCCAACUCUAAUUCCUUUAAAAUCAGAACGUCGAGCAUCCCGAAUCAGAUCAUCACCAGUGAGCCAAAGCUCCAAAACAUCGAUCUCUCUCUAGCUUCGAUUCAGAUAUUGAAAAUAAACAAUUUUAAUUAUGUACUGUUCAAAUUUAGAGACCACAUUUUAAUAUUCAGAUGUGUAUUCAUAUCAAAACACCUAGAUCUUAAUGCAAAUUUUAAUAUUCAAAUGUGUAUUCAGAUUCAGACCUCUUAAUAUUAAUAGAAACAAAUGAGGUCUUACUCAUAUUAUUGUUUUAAUUUAUGAUUUAUUUGUA